GUUCUCCACAGCUGCAUGCUUGAUCCAGGCCUAUCAGCAGCCCUGCUUCUUUAGAAUUGACAGUCUGGCUUCGUGGUUAAUUCACAGCAUCUGAGGAAUACAUCCAAAGAGGGUGAUACUGUGGCAUGAUGGUACCAGGAUUCCAAGUUCAUUCCAGAGAAGAUGGCAAGAUGCAGAGAGGAGGAGUCACGCCUGAAGCCACACAGCUGACAUCAGAGCCAAAGCAUGAGCCUCAGUCUCUCUGACCCAGAGCUACCACCCUUGCUGCCUUGGGAAGAAGGAAGCCCCCUCCUAUUCUAUCCUUGAGCUGCCUUGGCAAGGAGGGGCCCCUUGCUGCCGCCAUCCUCACAGGACACCAUCCACAUGAGGGGAUGGUGAGCUCCACUUCCACCUUUUCUACAUGUCUGCUCUUUAAACUGCACACGUUGAUUCAUUCAUUCAUUCAUUCAUUCAUUCCCUUGAUAUUACCAUUCAUUUAUUCAUCAAGUAUUUAUUGAGCAUAUUUAUCUGCAUGGCAUUGUGCUAAUCGUAAUCAUCAUAUUCACCACUGCUGAGCAGAACAGUCAGGGUGCUGCCCUCAGGGAGUUACCAUGUAGUAAAGGAGACAGAUGGAAUCACACAGAGGAAUGCACGUCUGAUUGUAGCCUGACUGGAGUGCCAUGAAGGAGACCAAGAGGGCAGGGUGAUGGAGAAAGCACAGGAUGAAGUUCUCGUCUUCCUUCCAACAGAAUCUCAGUUGCACUCAGUUGUUGCCCCCCUCGAACCUCCCUUGAGCCUCAGGAGAAACCACCCUGAUUCAGAGGUCCAGAGAAGACCUGACUAGCCCAAGGUAAUUCCGUCCCCUUGCCAGAGUGGCUUGGGCAGGGACACGGGACCUAUUUCAAUGAGGCCAAUGAGACAAAGGUAUUUCUGCUGGGGAGGCAGGGGCUUCAAGCAAAGGGUCUUGCUUGAAAGAGCCACCGGAAGAGGGCUCUCUCCUUCCUUAGGGUGUCACCGUGUCUGGAUGCGAUGCCUGGAAGUGCUACAGCCACUCGCGCCCAGCCUGAAGAUGAAACCAACCCCAAACACAGCCAAGCAGAGAGAUGGAAAGAACUAGGACCCUAAUUACACCACUGAGCAGCUAUAGCAACCAGUUCCAGAGCCCUCUGACUUCCCGCCAAAGUGAGAUGAUAAGAUACUGUUUAAUUUCUCUCUUUUAUAGCCAAACACACCAAAAUUGACACAGAGAUGUGAGCCAUACCUACUACUGUUACUGCUCCAUCCCUAGCUCCAACCACAGUGCAUGGUACAUGGUAGAGAGCCAACAAACACUUGAAGAAUGAAUGGUGCAUAUUGAGUGGGAUUUUCCAGAGGCAGACCUGGAGACAAGGCUUCAAGUGCGUGUGUUGUAUUAAGGAAAUGCUCCCAGGGGACAAUAGCAGAGUGGCAGAAAUGGGACAAGGGGGCCAGGGAGCCAAGAACAGAGAAUCAAUCGUCUAAACAGAGCCCCCUGUUUUUUGUUUCACCUGGGAGUAGCUUCUACCUGAUCCCCAGGGGAACUCUGGGAUGUCAGUGACGGCUCAGCAUUGCCCCUGAGGCAAGGGAGCUGGGCUUUCCUAAUCCCCCACUCCUCAGUCUCUGGCUAAGCGCUGUCCCCAGGGGACUUAAUCACCCAAACACUUCCCCAAGAGUGGCAUCUGCUGACCACUGGAGGCACUGGUACAGUGAAGCGACAGAAGGGAUCAGAGAGGGUCCAGGU
ensembl:lncRNA novel transcript, antisense to CBLN1